AAUGCAGAGAAGAGAAGGUGUCAUCACCUUAAAUGGGUUCUGCGUUCUUCAGGGUCAGAACCCUGAAGAACUGACCUCCUUUUUGAACUGACCCCAACCUUGCUGAGUUUACCAACUUUCCUGGCCAUGAGGGUCAGAAAUCCACAAUGAUUUCAUAAGUAAUUUCUCAUGAAACCACAUACCACAGCAUGAGUCACAAAUGUAGCUGUGUACCUGUAGGAGUAUAUGUCAUUCUUGUUAAAUCUGCCAGGAAUAGGAUGAUCAACUUGUCCCAGUUUGCCUGGGAUUUUCCCUAUUUGUACCAAAAGUCUUAUGUCCUGGGAAAUCCUUCAGUUCCAGGUAUAUCUGAGUGAUUGACCACCCUACCCAGGAAAUAAGGAAGGAGCAAGGGGUCCUUAAAGUGUUAUCCCUACCAGAAUCUGCCUCUUUCUCUCUCUGCAAAAGUAGAGAAGCUGCAACCUGUGGGACCUGGUGCUUCCAUCCAGCUGCAUGGGGAAGACAUUUAUGUCAACUUGAGCAGAAGAGCAUAUACCACAUAAUACAGAUCUUUGGAUGGGAGUUACUGCCAGAGCACAGCCAUCGUUUUGGCAACAUUCCCAAAGGAAUAAAAGAAGUAAUGUCUUUCACUGAAAGUAGGUCAAGGAGCCAAGUGAGUGGUGCCUUGCGGGAGAGGGAAAAUGAAGAAGUGCGCAAGGUCCACACUGGUGAUGAUUCCACACUCAGAGCUCUGAGCUGUCAGAACCCAAAGAAUCAUCUAGAAACCAAGAGACAAUGGGAAAUAAGGCAACAGCAAGGUGGAAGAGGUGAACAUGAACCUGGUGAAAACCUGCAGGAAGAUCAGGGUAAGGGUAUUGCCCUUCCCAAAGGUGGGGGUGGUGCCCAGGCCAUCCUCUCAGGACAUCACAUAAACAUGGACACUAGAGGCUCCUAGACACUCACAGCGCAUAUCUAUCCAGACUACUUGGACUACAUAGUUGAGAAAGUAAAUGGACUUUGAUGUGAGGAAUGCAAGUCCUUUUAAAUUAUCAGGCCCAGGGAGACAUUAAAAUGAGACAGCAAUCACGUCCUACUCCCUUUUUAAAACUGCUUUCUAUUGCCACGAGUAGCUGUAAAGUAACCUAAUAAUGCCACAUUGAACACUAUAACCACACCCUAUAGCCUAAUGAUGUAUAACUAAUCACCGAUCAAUGUUAUUUCUGUAAGCCAGUUCCUGACAACUUUGUAUCAGCCCUACUCCCUGUCCCCCCAACUUUUUUUUUUUGUCUUUAAAAACCUGGUUAUGUGAUGGCACAGUGGCUCACACUUGUAAUCACAGCACUUUGGGAGGCCAAGGCUGGAGGAUUGCUGGAGCCUAGGAGUUCGAGACCAGCCUGAGUAACAUGGCAAAAACUUGUUUACAAAAAAUACAAAAAUUAUCCAGGCCUGGUGGUGUGUGCCUGUAGUCCUGGCUACUCUGGAGGCAGAGGUGGGAGAAUCACCUGAGCCUGGGGAGGUCAAGGCUCCAGUGAGUCAUGAUCCACUACACUCUAGCCUGGAUGACAGUGAGACCCUAUCUCAAAAAACAAAGAAACAAAUAAACAAACAAACCUGCUUGGAACAAAGAUGAAUGGAAUUCAUACCCAAGGCUACUUGGGUCUGAGUCUUCCCAGCAGCUGUCAACCCUUUGGCUAAAGUAAACUCCUCCAGUUACAUUUUAUGCCUCAGCCUCUUCCUUUUAGCUUGACAGUCAUUGAGCUUUAGCAAGUUCCUCUUUUUUGCUAGCCCAUGCUGGACACAUUUUAAAUGAGAGUCAUAACUAACAUUUUUGCAUUAUUCAAAAUAGCUUCAAGAAACCAGAAACCUGUCACACAUACUUGUUUUCUUCUUUAGAACAAUGCAUGUGUUUAGGGAAAAUGAAAACAGUCUAUAGCUGAACUCAUGUUAGUGCUUUCCAGAAUCAAAUGGUCACAGACACUCAAAGCUCUUCUCCAGGAAUAAGGGGUUAACCUUGCCUUCCAGUGCUUCACUGUCUGCUCUCAAUGUUUGCUACUCCACCCCAUUGU
rnacentral:lncRNA from 1 species